rnacentral:rRNA from 1 species
GUGAACGCUGGCGGUAGGCCUAACACAUGCAAGUCGAACGGCAGCACAGUAAGAGCUUGCUCUUACGGGUGGCGAGUGGCGGACGGGUGAGGAAUACAUCGGAAUCUACUUUUUCGUGGGGGAUAACGUAGUGAAACUUACGCUAAUACCGCAUACGACCUACGGGUGAAAGCAGGGGAUCUUCGGACCUUGCGCGAUUGAAUGAGCCGAUGUCGGAUUAGCUAGUUGGCGGGGUAAAGGCCCACCAAGGCGACGAUCCGUAGCUGGUCUGAGAGGAUGAUCAGCCACACUGGAACUGAGACACGGUCCAGACUCCUACGGGAGGCAGCAGUGGGGAAUAUUGGACAAUGGGCGCAAGCCUGAUCCAGCCAUACCGCGUGGGUGAAGAAGGCCUUCGGGUUGUAAAGCCCUUUUGUUGGGAAAGAAAAGCAGCAGGUUAAUACCCCGCUGUUCCGACGGUACCCAAAGAAUAAGCACCGGCUAACUUCGUG